rnacentral:lncRNA from 1 species
CAAAACAAUGGCUCAAUUGUGUUUAACUUUGUAUUUUGAUUGUUGAGAAAAAAAAAAAAAAAAGUAUCGAUGUGUAUGUGGCCGUUCCUAGUGACUUCAUUGCGGAAUGAGGUUGUCCGUGUCCUUGCCAAGCCCGGGGGCAGAAGACACCCUCUCUCACCCCCUCCUCCAAGAGCAGUAGAGAAUUUAAGCACAAGCCUCUUUGUGAAAGAGUAUUUUGCUCAAGUGUCAUUCACUCUAGUCUUGGAAAUUUCUUCCCAAACAUCAGGUGUUCUUUUAGCUUCCAAACUAUGCUGUGUACUCAUUUAGUCUUGACAAAAAUCGCCUGAGCACCGUUCCAGGGGUGGGGUGUUUUUGCUUUGAUUUCUCCUGCUGGGAGAAACAGCAUUUCGUGUGUCAUUCCAGUAUCUCACAUACGCNNNNNNNNNNNNNNNNNNNNNNGUGGGGAACUAUAGCAAUAUUUGAAGAUGCUUUGGGGAAACAACCGUGAACACGUCCGCACCAUGACAUCCGCAUUUACUUGUCGGUCCUAGGACACAUUUAAGAGACGGAGACUACGCUCUUUCUUCUUAAAUGCUAUCCCCGUGGAAAGUCAUUUUCAUGCUACUGCAGUUGUCUCUUAUCUUUGCCUAGUACUUUGUGGAAAGGGUCUGCAUCAUGGAUUUUCCCAGCCUUAUGAUACACCCUGAGCUCCUAUUUCCCUCCCCCCUCUCUAAGCAGUAUAUGUAUAUGUAUCUAUAUAUACACAUGUUCGAGGGUUCUCUGGUCAAAUUGUCCAUCUGAAACUAAAGUGAACCCACCCCACCGACAACGGUUGGAAAAAACCCUGGCCAAAACAGCUGUGGCAGAUUUUAGUCUGGCGGCUGCGUUUUUCAGAAGGACUGUGGGAAGCUUCUCCCAAGAGCUGGUUUUUUUUUUUUUCCCUGGGAGAGGCACAGGGUGUCUGGCUCUGGCUGGGCGAGGCCGUGAAUACCACAUCUCACCUGGGGGGCCAGCUUCGGGCUGUGGGCUUUGUAGGGUGAAGACCUUCCAGAUGGCCUUUGUCCAGCUCAGUCCUGGGGCCCAAAUGCUACCAGCCCCCCGCCUCAGUGCCCUCCGCCCCGCACUCCACACGUGUGGGCCCCCAGCGUCUCAUCCAAGAGCUCUUGGAGAAGGAAUCAGAGUUCUGUACAAGUGACCUGCAUGGGAGGGUU